CCGAGUUAGGGUCCCUCUGGGCCCGAUCUCCAACCCUUUGUCUACCUUACCACUUGUUGCUUCGGUGGGCCCGCCUCCCCGGUCAUACGGGGUCGGCCGCCGGAGGGAUCUACACCCUCUGGCCCGCGCCCACCGAUAGCCCUCAAACCAAAACUCUACAUGAAUCGUGAUUUUGUCUGAAACCAUAAAAAAAUAACA
rnacentral:misc_RNA from 1 species